rnacentral:rRNA from 1 species
ACGAACGUUGGCGGCGUGGAUUAGGCAUGCAAGUCGAGCGAGGACAGGGGGCAACUCCUGAUUCGAGCGGCGAAAGGGGCAGUAAGGCGUGGAUAACCUACCCUGGGGACUGGGAUAGCGGUCCUAACGGACCAGUAAUACCGGGCGAUGUGACGAUGUGGCAUCAUGUUGUCACCAAAUGAGUUUCGCCCUGGGAGGGGUUCACGUGGUAUUAGCUAGUUGGUGAGGUAAUGGCUCACCAAGGCUUAGAUGCCUAGCGGGUGUGAGAGCACGACCCGCGCCACUGGCACUGAGACACUGGCCAGACACCUACGGGUGGCUGCAGUCGAGGAUCUUCGGCAAUGGGCGCAAGCCUGACCGAGCGACGCCGCGUGUGCGAUGAAGGCCUUCGGGUUGUAAAGCACUGUCGAGGGGGAGGAAGCCGCAAGGUUGACCUAUCCCUGGAGGAAGGACGGGCUAAGUUCGU